ACAAAGUUCAUUAUCCAUAAAAGAUAAUCAUGCUUGUAUUUACAUCUUUACAUAUUUACAGUCAAUACAUAUUGACUAAAUUAAAGUGGCUUGUGGAUAAAUAAAACGGAAUAUAAUGUCAUAUAAGAAAUCCUUGCUCAAAAUGUUAAGGGAGUUCUGACAGGCAAGUGACAAGUCAAUAUCUUUAAUCCACCUCUUCAAUAGUUGGCCCCUGAGCAGCGGCCCCUGAUCCUCCGCGUGAGAAGUACCUGAGUUUCACAACCUCCAGCUG